CAUGCAAGUCGAGCGGUAGCACAGAGAGCUUGCUCUCGGGUGACGAGCGGCGGACGGGUGAGUAAUGUCUGGGAAACUGCCUGAUGGAGGGGGAUAACUACUGGAAACGGUAGCUAAUACCGCAUAACGUCGCAAGACCAAAGAGGGGGACCUUCGGGCCUCUUGCCAUCAGAUGUGCCCAGAUGGGAUUAGCUAGUAGGUGGGGUAACGGCUCACCUAGGCGACGAUCCCUAGCUGGUCUGAGAGGAUGACCAGCCACACUGGAACUGAGACACGGUCCAGACUCCUACGGGAGGCAGCAGUGGGGAAUAUUGCACAAUGGGCGCAAGCCUGAUGCAGCCAUGCCGCGUGUAUGAAGAAGGCCUUUGGGUUGUAAAGUACUUUCAGCG
rnacentral:rRNA from 1 species